CAUUUCUGAGCUUAUCCGAGAGCGGGACGGCUGUCAGUUGCCCAACGGCCGGCAUCAACGCCGAUGCCCUCUCCCUCCCUUCCCGCCGGUGCUGCCAUGGCUUCAACCCUCGCCGCCCUUCCCCCCGGGCUCCCACCGUCGCCACCUCCAAUCCAGACCCCUCAUCGCCACUUCAACCCACGUAUGCCAAACCUGCAGGCGCUCUCGUCCGAAAACCCCUCCGCCUCCGCCGCGGCGUCGCUCCUCGCCGCCGCCGCGCGCGCCGGCGACCUCCGCCUCGGCCGCGCGCUCCACCGCCGCCUCCUCGGCGCCGAGAUCCUCGACACCGACGCCCUGGUCGCCAACUCGCUCCUCACCAUGUACUCAAAGUGCGGCCACGUGAGCGCCGCGCGCAGGGUGUUCGACGGAAUGCGCGGCCUGCGGGACCUCGUGUCCUGGACGGCAAUGGCCUUCUGCCUCGCGCGAAACGGCGCGGAGCAGGAGGCCCUGCUCCUCCUCGGCGAGAUGCUCGAGUCGGGGCUCCGGCCCAACGCGUUCACGCUCUGCGCAGCCGCUCGUGCCUGCUUUCCGGGGGAGCUCUUUCGCCUGUCUGGCACCGCGGUCCUUGGGUUUGUGCUCAAGACGGGGUUCUGGGGCACCGACGUGUCGGUGGGCUGCGCCUUGAUUGAUAUGUUCGCCAGGAACGGAGACCUGGUAGCAGCACGGAAGGUGUUUGAUGGGUUGGUUGAGAGGACAGCGGUCGUCUGGACGCUGAUGAUUACACGGUAUGUGCAAGGCGGGUGUGCAGGCGAGGCGGUUGAAUUAUUUCUUGGCAUGCUAGAAGAUGGUUUUGAGCCCGACGGAUACACCAUGAGCAGCAUGAUUUCGGCAUGCGCAGAGCAGGGAUCAGUCGGAUUCGGGCAGCAACUGCAUUCUCUAGUACUACGGCUGGGGCUGGUUUCUGAUACUUGUGUGAGCUGUGGACUUGUGGACAUGUACGCAAAAUUGCAAAUGGAACAGUCCAUGGAAUGUGCAAGGAAAGUCUUCAAACGAAUGCCCACACAUAACGUCAUGUCAUGGACAGCACUGAUAUCAGGAUAUGUGCAAUGUGGAGCACAGGAAAACAAUGCAAUAGAACUCCUCUGCGAAAUGUUAAAUGAGAGCAUCGAACCAAACCACAUCACAUAUUCUAGUCUUCUUAAGGCAUGUGCAAACCUUUCUGAUCAAGAUUCAGGCAGGCAGAUUCAUGCCCGUGUCAUGAAGACCGGCAUAGGGAAUGUAAACGUUGUUGGGAAUGCUCUGGUCAGCAUGUAUGCUGAAUCUGGUUGCAUGGAGGAGGCUAGAAAGGCGUUCGACCAGCUUUAUGAAAGUAACAUACUUUCCACCAGUUCUGAUAUUGGUGGAACUGAGAGCAGCAAUGCCUCUUGGAGUUCUCAGAUUGAGAGCAUGGGUGUCGGAGUCAGCACCUUCACAUUUGCUAGUCUGCUUAGUGCUGCUACCACUGUAGGGUUGCCAACCAAGGGUCAGCAACUGCAUGCGUUUUCAAUCAAAGCAGGCUUUGAGUCUGAUCAAGGUAUAAGCAAUUCCCUUGUUUCCAUGUAUUCGAGGUGUGGAUAUUUGGAUGAUGCUUGUCGAGCAUUUGAUGAAAUGGCCGACCAUAAUGUGAUUUCAUGGACUUCAGUAAUCAGUGGCUUAGCCAAGCAUGGGCACGCGGAACGAGCGUUGUCAUUGUUUCAUGACAUGAUCUUAUCCGGUGUCAAACCAAAUGAUGUCACAUACAUUGCUGUGUUAUCUGCCUGUAGCCAUGUCGGUCUAGUGAAAGAAGGAAAGGAAUACUUCAGAUCAAUGCAGAAGGAUCACGGACUCGUACCGAGGAUGGAACAUUAUGCUUGCAUGGUGGAUCUUCUUGCACGAUCAGGUCUUGUUCAAGAAGCCCUGGAGUUCAUUAAUGAAAUGCCCUGUAAAGCGGAUGCAUUGAUUUGGAAGACUCUCCUCGGUGCUUGUAGGACUUACGAUAAUAUUGAGAUUGGUAAAAUUGCAGCCAAUCAUGUCAUAGAUCUCGAGCCGCGAGAUCCAGCUCCAUAUGUCCUUCUCUCAAACUUGUAUGCCCGCGGUGGUCUAUGGGACGAAGUUGCAAGAAUAAGGAGUCUGAUGAGACACAAGAACUUGAGUAAAGAAACUGGCUUGAGUUGGAUGCAUGUUGGAAACACCAUUCACGAGUUCAGAGCUGGUGACACCGGCCAUCCGCAAGCACAAGAGAUCUAUGCAAAGUUGGCUGCGUUGAUCAGAGAAAUUAAAGACAUUGGCUACGUACCAGACACAAGCAUCGUGCUCCAUGACAUGUCGGAUGAGCUCAAGGAGGAGUGUCUGCUCCAGCACAGCGAGAAGAUUGCUGUGGCAUUUGGUUUGAUUACUACGUCGCCAACAAAACCAAUAAGGAUCUUUAAGAAUCUCCGUGUGUGCGCAGAUUGCCAUUCUGCAAUCAAGUAUAUCUCUAAAUCCACUGGAAGGGAGGUAAUAUUGAGAGAUAGCAACAGGUUCCAUAGGAUGAAAGAUGGAAAAUGCUCAUGCGGAGAGUACUGGUGAGCUGUGAAUGGCGAUUGAUGAGCAGGUUUGGUUUUUUGAUUAAGAAACUCUAGAGGUUUCUUGCUCAGCAUGGCCUUUUUGCUGGUAAAUACUAACUGAUGUUCAUUUUUUUAGCUUUUCUAAACCAUUGAUUUUGCAAAGGAUUAGAUGUUGUUUCUGUAUAGUUAGUCUAUCAUAAAGUUAUAGAGUAUGUAAAGUCAUAUGAACAAUACAAACUUGACUAGCAGCAUGUUUCUUAUCUUUUUGGGUAUACUUGGAUUACUUCCGGAAGUCCUUAGCUGAUAGCUGGUUAGAAGAAUAAAUACAUCCAUUUAAUUCCCAGUAGGGGGAAUGAACUUAGUUGUUUUCCACCCAGGAAGGAACAAAAUGAUCCAUUUAGUCCACAUCCAGGAACAAUGUUUACAUGGAAAAUGCUGCACUUCAUGGACUCUCCUUGGGUUACCAUGUGCUGCUCAUAAGGUUGAGGGUGAUCAAAAUGACAAAUACAUACACAUGGUGAAGACAAAAAUUCAUUCUAGAUCCGGAAGCAUCAACCGUUUGAACCCAUGGUCGCAUCUGACAACAUAAUACAAAAGCCUUCUGUUAAAACAGACAAGCUGACUGAAUACAUACUUCAGUAUCACAAGAGUAUAUGGAUCAUACUCCCUCCGUCCGAAAAUACUUGUCAUCAAAAUGGGUAAAAAAGGAUGUAUCUAUAACUAAAAUACGUCUAGAUACAUCCCCUUUUAUUUAUUUUGAUGACAAGUAAUUCCGGACGGAGGGAGUACUGUACAAGCUAAUUCUUCAUAUCACAACUGUCAGACAGUUUGCAGUAUGCAGUGAGAGAGUCAAAAUAGCUGCACUAUUUAAUAAAAUGCCCAGACUGAAGUGCACGAGAAAAGUACUAAAUCAGAACUUGUCUCAUUCCAUCCUUCUCAGUUCUGGUGGAAGCCGCACACCGUGUAACACUGGAGUCUUGGAUCUCCAUCAAUUCAGUCAGACAAGCCAUUAACAGCUUUUGUUUUUGCCCAUGGAAGUAUCCUAGACUUGUGAAGUACCACCACGAUUUGGUUGAAGUUCCUGCAUUAGUUCAUGUCUCACCUCUGUCACCAGGUGAUGCCUACAAAAUGUUGAAUUGAGAUGGCAUCUCCUGUUAAGAUCCAGCAGCCACUUAAACCCAACACAUGUAGCUGGGCAGGGGGCACAAACCCAACAAAACACAAGAUGUGUCAAAUUUGAGUCGGAACAUGGGACAUGCAAUGCAGGGUCAGACAAUAAAUCACUUUUUAGGUACAGAUAUUUUACGGCUCUAGAGGAUGCCAGCCAAGGGAGGUAUAGUUUCAUCUGACAGUGGUGUAUCCUCCAGAUUUAGACUUACAAAGAUACUAGUUGAAUGCCCGUGCGUUGUUACGGGAAAAUAUAGCACUGAAUAUAAGUGUUUGUCGAAAGCAGGACAAACAUCAAUGUUUUUCACACCUCCCUACUCAUGGCUAGUUCCUGGUUGCCUCGCUACAAUUAUGGUAGCCCUGGAUGUUGUCCUCUUCAACUCUAAUGAAUCUCUGAUGUGUUCUUAUCUUGUAGGGAACAAAAGGUUACGCAUUUGGAGUCUUACCCUUAAUACCGAUGAUAAAUAAGUACUAAAAGAUGAUAUUGUUGUAACCCGCAUCAACCUUUUGAAUAUAUAUUUCGUAGUGGGGGAAGCCCUGUCAGCACCACCUCUAUCCGCUACGCUUUAGAAAAUGCAAUAUUAACAUCCAUACUCCAGAUUUGGCAGUGUUCAAAGUAACGAAGUUUUUAUGGAAGGAUUCAAAAAGUAGCAUGCCACGUCACCAUGUACUCAUGCCUUGCCACCGGAUAUAAAGAGAAGAAUUAAUCUACAAAUCAAAGAAAGGGCGAUCAGUUCUUCAGUUCUGGCGUUUCUUCCAGGGAGCUUCAAACAUCAGCCGAUGGACCUUCUGACUGUUCAAUCUAGGCAGGAAAUAUCCACUGCUUCUUGAAGAAAGGGCCCAGAUUGAUGCUUGGAACAUCUUGAAGACAUGAAAUUAUGUACUCCCUCCGUUCCAAAUUACUUGUCUUGGAUUUGUCUAGAUACGGAUGUAUCUAGACUUAUUUUAGUGCUAGAUACCUCCGUAUCUAGACAAAUCUAAGACAAGUAAUUCGGAACAGAGGGAGUAAUUGAGUAUGUGUUGCUCAAAUUGUGUAAUGGUUGACCAGAUUGCCUGUAAUGGAGUAUGUGUUAUGUGGA